rnacentral:rRNA from 3 species
CUAACGACUCUCGGCAACGGAUAUCUCGGCUCACGCAUCGAUGAAGAACGUAGCAAAAUGCGAUACUUGGUGUGAAUUGCAGAAUCCCGUGAACCAUCGAGUUUUUGAACGCAAGUUGCGCCCGAAGCCUUUUGGCUGAGGGCACGUCUGCCUGGGCGUCACAC